GACGAACGCUGGCGGCGUGCUUAACACAUGCAAGUCGAACGGAAAGGCCCUGCUUUUGUGGGGUGCUCGAGUGGCGAACGGGUGAGUAACACGUGAGUAACCUGCCCUUGACUUUGGGAUAACUUCAGGAAACUGGGGCUAAUACCGGAUAGGAGCUCCUGCUGCAUGGUGGGGGUUGGAAAGUUUCGGCGGUUGGGGAUGGACUCGCGGCUUAUCAGCUUGUUGGUGGGGUAGUGGCUUACCAAGGCUUUGACGGGUAGCCGGCCUGAGAGGGUGACCGGGCACAUUGGGACUGAGAGACGGCCCAGACUCCUACGGGAGGCAGCAGUGGGGAAUAUUGCACAAUGGGCGGAAGCGUGAUGCAGCAACGCCGCGUGCGGGAUGACGGCCUUCGGGUGGUAAACCGCUUUCGCCUGUGACGAAGCGUGAGUGACGGUAAUGGGUAAAGAAGCACCGGCUAACUACGUG
rnacentral:rRNA from 1 species